ACAAUGGUACUCCCGCCCAGCCACAGCCCUGCUACGCAGGAACACGCAAUGGGGGCGGCUCUGUCAGAACGGCAGUUGGGGUGAAACUCCCGUGA
rfam:Oscillibacter sp. 1-3 genomic scaffold acPPL-supercont1.2, whole genome shotgun sequence.